GGCCCAGAUUCCUACGGGAGGCAGCAGUGGGGAAUAUUGCACAAUGGGCGAAAGCCUGAUGCAGCAACGCCGCGUGAGGGACGACGGCCUUCGGGUUGUAAACCUCUUUUAGCAGGGAAGAAGCGAAAGUGACGGUACCUGCAGAAAAAGCGCCGGCUAACUACGUGCCAGCAGCCGCGGUAAUACGUAGGGCGCAAGCGUUAUCCGGAAUUAUUGGGCGUAAAGAGCUCGUAGGCGGUUUGUCGCGUCUGCUGUGAAACCCCGAGGCUCAACCUCGGGCCUGCAGUGGGUACGGGCAGACUAGAGUGCGGUAGGGGAGAUUGGAAUUCCUGGUGUAGCGGUGGAAUGCGCAGAUAUCAGGAGGAACACCGAUGGCGAAGGCAGAUCUCUGGGCCGUAACUGACGCUGAGGAGCGAAAGGGUGGGGAGCAAACAGGCUUAGAUACCCUGGUAGUCCACCCCGUAAACGUUGGGAACUAGUUGUGGGGUCCAUUCCACGGAUUCCGUGACGCAGCUAACGCAUUAAGUUCCCCGCCUGGGGAGUACGGCCGCAAGGCUAAAACUCAAAGGAAUUGACGGGGACCCGCACAAGCGGCGGAGCAUGCGGAUUAAUUCGAUGCAACGCGAAGAACCUUACCAAGGCUUGACAUAUACGAGAACGGGCCAGAAAUGGUCAACUCUUUGGACACUCGUAAACAGGUGGUGCAUGGUUGUCGUCAGCUCGUGUCGUGAGAUGUUGGGUUAAGUCCCGCAACGAGCGCAACCCUCGUUCUAUGUUGCCAGCACGUAAUGGUGGGAACUCAUGGGAUACUGCCGGGGUCAACUCGGAGGAAGGUGGGGAUGACGUCAAAUCAUCAUGCCCCUUAUGUCUUGGGCUUCACGCAUGCUACAAUGGCCGGUACAAAGGGCUGCAAUACCGUAAGGUGGAGCGAAUCCCAAAAAGCCGGUCCCAGUUCGGAUUGAGGUCUGCAACUCGACCUCAUGAAGUCGGAGUCGCUAGUAAUCGCAGAUCAGCAACGCUGCGGUGAAUACGUUCCCGGGUCUUGUACACACCGCCCGUCAAGUCAUGAAAGUCGGUAACACCUGAAGCCGGUGGCCCAACCC
rnacentral:rRNA from 1 species